AACGAACGCUGGCGGCAUGCCUAACACAUGCAAGUCGAACGAAGCCUUCGGGCUUAGUGGCGCACGGGUGCGUAACGCGUGGGAAUCUGCCCUUGGGUUCGGAAUAACAGUUAGAAAUGACUGCUAAUACCGGAUGAUGUCUUCGGACCAAAGAUUUAUCGCCCAAGGAUGAGCCCGCGUCGGAUUAGCUAGUUGGUGAGGUAAAGGCUCACCAAGGCGACGAUCCGUAGCUGGUCUGAGAGGAUGAUCAGCCACACUGGGACUGAGACACGGCCCAGACUCCUACGGGAGGCAGCAGUGGGGAAUAUUGGACAAUGGGCGAAAGCCUGAUCCAGCAAUGCCGCGUGAGUGAUGAAGGCCUUAGGGUUGUAAAGCUCUUUUACCCGGGAUGAUAAUGACAGUACCGGGAGAAUAAGCCCCGGCUAACUCCGUGCCAGCAGCCGCGGUAA
rnacentral:rRNA from 1 species